AGCACCUACACAAACGACAGGAACGCCCUUUUAAUAAUAACACGUCCAGUCAACACAGUUCUCAUGAUUCGGCCUGCGAGCCGAGUUAAUGGUCUGACCUCAAAGGUGAUGUAGUACUGCAUUUGGUGGAUGAAGUGGACCAUCUCGGAGGCCAGGAUGUGACACUGAUGCAGCACGCCGGACAACUCUGGAGGGCAAAAGAGCAAUAAGGCAGGAAAAACCCAAGCUCGUCCUUUAAAGACACACACGCAGUUCUAGAUAACAGUACAGCCGGUAUGAAAAAAGACAUCCAACAACCAUCUUGUGUUUGUUUACCCACCGGGCAUCGUUUUGAGCAGCUUGGCGUUACACAUCUGUCCCUUCCAGAUGUCAGUCAGGGUGUACUCCAUCCUCUUGGCCCUCCACAGGAAAUUGAACACGCGCAAGUAGUGGCCCAUGCACUCCCUCGUGAACACCUAAAACAAAAUACACACACAGGUAUAGAUAUGCGACAGCAGCAGCCACACAAUGUAUUGGGAAUUGUGUUGAAGUGUGUGUGUUACCGUAGCAAUGGGUCCAUCCACGUGGUAGUCCAGGCUGAAAACAUCCCAGCCUGUAUCACCAGGGGACACCUGCAUCCAACAAAGCGACGGAUGUAAAAAAGAAUAACACAAAACAAAAACAGAUGUCAGAGACACACAAACUCGUUACCUCCAGCAGGCGCACAUCCAGCCUCUUGAGGAUCUCCGCGUUGUCGUACUGGGCGUUCGUGGCUCUGACCGCCGUCUCCAGGAUGCCCGUCAGGUUGUGCUGGUACAGAGUGGUGGCAGGACGCACCAACUCCGGUCUGGGACACAAAACACACGAGGACACGUGACGCGAUCGGAUUCAGACGUCCGAAAGCAGCCGAGAUGGUCGACGUGUGUGUGUGUGUGUGUGUGUGUGUGCGUGUUGCUAACUUCAGCAGGUCCAUGAGGUGUCUGAUGAAGUCUCCCUGGCCCAGCAGCAGGUAUCUCCUCAUGGCCUGCAGGUGCUCAAGCAGCAGGUAGUUGCGGUUGAGAACGUCCAGCAGGUAUUUGCUGGUGUCGAAGUAGGCGGCGUCGAUCUUCUCCUGAACGCCCCCUCCAGGUCUGAGAGCAGCUCUGCAGCUGUGAGGAGACAAAAAA